GACGAACGCUGGCGGCGUGCCUAAUACAUGCAAGUUGAGCGCUGAAGGUUGGUACUUGUACCAACUGGAUGAGCAGCGAACGGGUGAGUAACGCGUGGGGAAUCUGCCUUUGAGCGGGGGACAACAUUUGGAAACGAAUGCUAAUACCGCAUAAAAACUUUAAACACAAGUUUUAAGUUUGAAAGAUGCAAUUGCAUCACUCAAAGAUGAUCCCGCGUUGUAUUAGCUAGUUGGUGAGGUAAAGGCUCACCAAGGCGAUGAUACAUAGCCGACCUGAGAGGGUGAUCGGACACAUUGGGACUGAGACACGGCCCAAACUCCUACGGGAGGCAGCAGUAGGGAAUCUUCGGCAAUGGACGAAAGUCUGACCGAGCAACGCCGCGUGAGUGAAGAAGGUUUUCGGAUCGUAAAACUCUGUUGGUAGAGAAGAACGUUGGUGAGAGUGGAAAGCUCAUCAAGUGACGGUAACUACCCAGAAAGGGACGGCUAACUACGUG
rnacentral:rRNA from 1 species